CCCUUAGAUGUUCUGGGCCGCACACGCGCUACACUGAAGGAGGCAGCGUGUACUCCUGGAUCGAAAGAUUUGGGUAACCCGCGAAUCUCCUUCGUGCUAGGGAUUGAGGUUUGCAAUUAUCCUUCAUGGACGAGGAAUUCCCAGUAAGUGCAAGUCAUAAGCUUGCGCUGACUACGUCCCUGCCCUUUGUACACACCGCCCGUCGCUACUACCGAUUGAAUGAUUUAGUGAGGACUUCGGACUGGGACCGAUGCGGCUUUCGGGCUGCGUCGGUAUUCUGGAAAGAUGUCCAAACUGUAUCAUUUAGAGGAAGUAAAANUCGUANCA
rnacentral:rRNA from 1 species